CCGCGAUGAUGACAAAUUAGGACACCUUUGCAUCAACCAUGAAAACAACAGGAAGAGUCUGAGCGGU